AACGAACGCUGGCGGCAUGCCUAACACAUGCAAGUCGAACGAGACCUUCGGGUCUAGUGGCGCACGGGUGCGUAACGCGUGGGAACCUGCCUUUAGGUUCGGAAUAACUCAGAGAAAUUUGAGCUAAUACCGGAUGAUGUCUUCGGACCAAAGAUUUAUCGCCUUUAGAUGGGCCCGCGUUGGAUUAGCUAGUUGGUGGGGUAAAGGCCUACCAAGGCGACGAUCCAUAGCUGGUCUGAGAGGAUGAUCAGCCACACUGGGACUGAGACACGGCCCAGACUCCUACGGGAGGCAGCAGUGGGGAAUAUUGGACAAUGGGCGAAAGCCUGAUCCAGCGAUGCCGCGUGAGUGAUGAAGGCCUUAGGGUUGUAAAGCUCUUUUACCCGAGAUGAUAAUGACAGUAUCGGGAGAAUAAGCUCCGGCUAACUCCGU
rnacentral:rRNA from 1 species